rnacentral:tRNA from 1 species
GUUACAGUGGCCGAGUGGUUAAGGCGACACCCUGCUAUAAGCGGUUUAGGUGUUGGGAUUUUCCUUCGCAGGUUCGAAUCCUGUCUGUGACG